UACGGGGGGAGCAAGCGUUGUUCGGAUUUACUGGGCGUAAAGGGCGCGUAGGCGGCGUGACAAGUCACUUGUGAAAUCUCUGAGCUUAACUCAGAACGGCCAAGUGAAACUGUUGUGCUAGAGUGCAGAAGGGGCAAUCGGAAUUCUUGGUGUAGCGGUGAAAUGCGUAGAUAUCAGGAGGAACACCGGUGGCGAAGGCGCGCAUCUGGCCCGAUACUGACGCUGAGGCGCGAAAGCUAGGGGAGCGAACGGG
rnacentral:rRNA from 1 species